AACUUUCGCCAAUGGAUCUCUUGGCUCUCGCAUCGAUGAAGAACGCAGCGAAAUGCGAUAAGUAAUGUGAAUUGCAGAAUUCAGUGAAUCAUCGAAUCUUUGAACGCAUCUUGCGCUUCUUGGUAUUCUGAGAAGCAUGCCUGUUUGAGUGUCAUUUAAAUUCUCAACCCCAUCAGUUGUCUGGUGUGGCUUGGAUUUGGGAGCGUUUUUUGCAGGUUUUGUCCUGCUCUCCUGAAAAAUAUUAGCGGAAUCUAGAGCAGAGACCACUGGAGGGUGUGAUAACCAUCUAUACCCUCGGUAUGCUGUGAUUGAAUCUGCUUUCUAAUCUUUUGGAUUGAAAAAUUUGACCUCAAAUCAGGUAGGACUACCCGCUGAACUUAAGCAUAUCAAUAAGCGGAGGCU
rnacentral:misc_RNA from 1 species